rnacentral:rRNA from 2 species
CACACGACUCUCGGCAACGGAUAUCUCGGCUCUCGCAUCGAUGAAGAACGUAGCGAAAUGCGAUACCUGGUGUGAAUUGCAGAAUCCCACGAACCAUCGAGUCUUUGAACGCAAGUUGCGCCCGAGGCCACUCGGCCGAGGGCACGCUUGCCUGGGCGUCACGC